UUAUCUCAAUUUUACAAAUGAGACAGCUGAGCCCGCAGGAUCGCUGCAGAGCUCCUGGUAGUAAAUGCAGGCCUCUCCUGGAAGAUGACAGUGAUUGAACAGUACUCAAGGGUCCUCCUCUGUCAUCACUCCACGGAAACGGCUCCUCAACCGGUUAACCCCAGUAGCUGGGCUCGUCACGUGAGAGCUGCCAUUUAGAUUCAGACACUGUGACUCCGGAAGGCCUCUAGGAAAGUGCAAGUUGUCUUCCUAGCUAGGCAGGGGCCCAGGAUUCUUGUCUCCCUCUAACCGAUGAGCCUGUGUUAGCUGCUCUGCGCUCUCUAGACAAGCUCAGCUAAUCUUAAAAGCAGAGGCCACGGCUGCUACUCCCAGUGAACGGGACCUAGGACAGACAUGCUAGAGGAAAAAUUCAGGAAUCUCAGGGAGGACAGGCCAAGAAAGAAAACGCAGAGGACACCAGAGUCAGAGCCAGGGGUUCUGACGGGGGCGAUGUACUGUUGACGUCCUUCUGCACAAUGGAAAAUAACAGAUUUUCUGAAAGUAUAUAAAUAAGAAUAAUUCUUGGAAUGCACAAAAGUCUGUACAGGGCAGAGCUUCAAUCAUUAUUUGAUGAUUUGAGAAGCACAGGUAUAGAGAACUUCCAAGGGCCGUCUCUCGGAAAUUGACCCCUGUGUGGAGGAAAUAUAAAGAGUAUUUGCCAGCUCUCUCAAGGUUCCUGGGGAUGAAGCACUGGCUUGAAAGCCCUCACUGGGGCUGCGGUGGGGGAAGGUUUUUUGUCCUGCCUGGAUUUGGCUUCUGAAACUGCUCUGUCAUCGUGCUACAAUCCAAAGCUCAGAGGAGGACACGGCUGAGAGUUACUGCAGGGAAGCAAAGCUGCAGCCCUGGCACCAGGGAGCCAUGAGCCAGCUCUUCCGAC
rnacentral:lncRNA from 1 species